UACGUAGGUGGCGAGCGUUGUCCGGAUUUACUGGGCGUAAAGGGAGCGUAGGCGGACUUUUAAGUGAGAUGUGAAAUACCCGGGCUCAACUUGGGUGCUGCAUUUCAAACUGGAAGUCUAGAGUGCAGGAGAGGAGAGUAGAAUUCCUAGUGUAGCGGUGAAAUGCGUAGAUAUUAGGAGGAAUACCAGUUGCGAAGGCGGCUCUCUGGACUGUAACUGACACUGAGGCACGAAAGCGUGGGGAGCAAACAGGAUUAGAUACCCCGGUAGU
rnacentral:rRNA from 1 species